GGAAAACCUGGAGUCAGGACAAGCCCUAUCUCAAAUGUUGGGACCUGACUUAAUGGUGUAUGUAAUGCUUAAUUUAAUGGGUGCUAUAACAGUGAGGAAGAACUCCACUACUUGGUGUGGUUCGGGUCAUUAACUUUGGCUGGCAAGCCUGGCUUAGACAUCUCGUUCUUCCUAUUGUGUUAUGCCUAAUGGAAGAUAUUAUGAAAGAAAUGGAAGUGAGGGUGCUGCAGCAAUUCCAAGUUUUGGGUGUCCCAGCCCUGAGUUCCUGCUGCCUGGCGUCUUGGCUGCCAGGCCCACUGUUGCCAAGUGGCUCUAAUGCCAGCACUGCUUCCUGCUCAGUCACAGGGCCCUGCAUUCUGUUUGGCGCCCGGUCCUUGCUAGCUGCUGACCUCAGCCUAAGAGGGUAGUGAAGGCAUAAUAGAGAAAGAUGUUCAUACUCAAAAGUAACCAGCGGACAGCAGCCUCACAAAACACAUGAAUAUCCAGGAGGAGCACCAUUUUGUAGAGAUUUAAUAAAAUUG